rnacentral:rRNA from 1 species
GAUGAACGCUGGCGGCGUGCCUAACACAUGCAAGUCGAACGGAGUUACUUUGGUGAAGUUUUUCGGACGGAUCUGAUUUAACUUAGUGGCGGACGGGUGAGUAAUGCGUGAGCAACCUGCCCUUCAGAGGGGGACAACAGUUGGAAACGACUGCUAAUACCGCAUAAUGUAUCCGGAAGGCAUCUUCUGGAUACCAAAGGAGAAAUCCGCUGAUGGAUGGGCUCACGUCUGAUUAGCUAGUUGGUGAGGUAACGGCUCACCAAGGCUGCGAUCAGUAGCCGGACUGAGAGGUUGAACGGCCACAUUGGGACUGAGAUACGGCCCAGACUCCUACGGGAGGCAGCAGUGGGGAAUAUUGGGCAAUGGGCGAAAGCCUGACCCAGCAACGCCGCGUGAAGGAAGAAGGCCUUCGGGUUGUAAACUUCUUUUAAGAGGGACGAAGAAGUGACGGUACCUCUUGAAUAAGCCACGGCUAACUACGUG